GGGACUCUAUCCCAGGAUUCCAGGACCAUGACCUGAGCUGAAGGCAGACGCCCAACUGCUGAGCCACCCAGGCACCCCCAGUGAAUCCUUUAACCUCCAUGAGCCUCAUCUUCCUUAUCUAUAAAAUCAAGAUAUGAACUUACCAGAGGAAUUGACAUUUUGUGACAUUUAUGUGAAAUUGGUCAAUUUAAAGUAUGUAGAAUUACCUGUGCCUAACCCAGAAAAUCAUCAUCAUCAUCGACAACAUCAUCAUCAGUAUUGUUACUAUUAUGAUUAUUAUUAGCCAAUUAGUUGUAACAUUUUCUUACACCUCAGACUUUUGGUAUUAUUGUCUCUAUUUUUUGUACCAUAUUUAAUUUGUAUUGAAGACUAACUGUAAUUUAAGUACCGGCUAACAACUUUAACAAAAUCAAAUUCAUUCUUCUUGUAAUGCCUACUUAGUAACCAAGCUGUUUCUUUCUUUGCCUCUUUAUGUAGUCACAAGUAUUUUUAUCCAAACUGUUUCCCCAGUCAUGUGUAUUUCUGACCCAAGGAGAAAAACAUUUGAGGAGAAAAGCAUUAUAACUACAGUUGUCUAUUUGGCCAUUUUAAAUAAUGAAACAGUGAAAGAUCUGGAAAGAAAAGGCCACUGGUUAUCUAAAUACCCAGCCCCUUAUGUGUGCCCACAAAAGGAAAUAAAAUGAAAAUGACAUUACUAAAGAACUAUAAAGACAAGCAAAGAAAAAAAAAGUCCUUCAUAAAUUAAUCAAUACAGACUUUAGAAUAAGAAACAUCAAAAUGAUUUUUAAAUGAUUUAGACAUUUAGAAAAAAAGUCACUCAAACUGAUUGAUUAGCUGGAUCCACCUAAGAAAAUUGAACUCAUUUCCUUGUAGACAUGAUCUAAAAGAUCCAUUGUAUACCAUGCUAUUAAAGACAAAAUAUACUUGGCCAACUAUUCUUGCACUUGUAAUAUAUAUGCCUAGUAUUUCCAUGUGAAAGGAAUAGGAUUUGCUAGGAAGGUGUGUGACUCUUGUUCCUAGGAUUUAGUGACAGUUGGCAAAUAAUUGCUUGUGUGGGGUACUGAAUUAUUUAUAUCCUUUGGAUUUAAAAGAUGAUUCAAAUAAUAGAUGACUUUAGAGGUAAAUUAUUUUGCCAUUUUCUUCAUUUGUCCCUCUCUCUACUUCUUCUCUGACUGUUAAACUGAAGUUAGUGCUUAUUUAUUGACCACUUAACCACCGAAUAGGCUGAGCAUGUGGGCUAAAUGUUUUAUAAGAGAUAGUUCCUGUCCUCAAGGAAUCUACUAUCUAGCAAUGAAUAAGUUUUUGUUAUUUCACUAGUUUUUUGCUCAAUAAACUGUCCACUUUUAUUGCUAUUAUCAUUAUCAUUUCUCAGAUACCUUCAUUUCCCUUUAGCACUCCAUCAUAGACCUAUCUGGCAAAUUUAUCUGAAUUCUUAAAGCUAUUUAACUUGGCAGUCUCUGAGGAAUAUCAGGAGCUGAGAAGCAUGAAAAUUAGUGUUUUUACAUUUACGGCGCACCUUUUCUUUCACUAAAAAAAGCAAACAGUUGCAUAAUUCUCAAAUUAUUUCCAAGUGCAAAUAGGAAAGCUUCACUUAUAGUAAGGUAAAAAAUCAAGUGUGUUAAAAAACAAAACUAAAUGAUUCAUGAAUAGGUCAGCAUCCUACUAGCAAAUACAAAGGAUGUCUGCUGACCUGGGGGAAAGGAAAGGUUUGUUAAGGCAGGGAGGGGAACAGAAAAAAAGGAAAUUAAUAGCAAAGAAUGCAUUAUUUUAGGCAAGGUUGCCCUCCUAAGGGGAACAGUAGGGUCUAUCAGUGGGUUAUCUCCUAAUGCUAAGCAGCAAACUCCAGGUUGGCUGGUUAAAGGUCAUAUUACUAGAGGAGGUGAAACUGUAGUUAGAUUAGGUUUUAAGUCUUGGUUUGCUGAUGUGAAGCUUUAAUAAAAGUGACUCUACUUUGGGCCUGUGGGUUUGUUUCUUUUUAAUACAUGAUUCCAAUAACUGUAACAUCAGCCUCCAAGAAAGUAGGUAGUUGGGUGGGUGGGUGUCUGUGGUAACUGAAAUAUUUGACAGUUUAAAAAAAGAGAGAGAGAGGCAAAAAACGUGCUUUAGAAUUCAAGAGAGUAAAUAACUCAAGAGAACUUUAAAAUAGUUUUACAUGGAAGGUUGUUCAAUGUGGUGACCACUUCUUCUCAUUGCAGGAGAUUCCCUGUACCAUCCAUGUGUUUGUCUGCAGGAGUUAGGAUGCUGGGAUCUUUUGAAUUAGGUAGAAGAGACCAUACUUAGAGAAUUUAGUACUAAUAAAGAUGAGGAUGAUUGUUUAUAAUGGGAUUUCAGAAUUUUAGCAACCCUAGUUUAGAUGACAAAUGCCAUCACAUAAAGUUUUUUAUGACAACAUAUAAUAUAAAAGAUUAUACUUAUUCCCUGUGGAACUUUGUCACCUCCAUUUUACCUACUGUUAGGAUCUGCCCUGAAUAAGUAGUGAAAACUAUGAAAUUUGAUUCCUCCCAAACACUAAGGGGAAAAUGUUGAAUAAAUCUACAUAAAAGACAUCCACAACAUAAAGUUGAAGAGCUUAGUUUACGUGUUAAUCAUUGCUUUGUGCUGUUUGCAAAACAACCACCAAAUUUGGCCCAAGACAAAAUAAAGAAUAUUGCCUCAUUAACAAAUUUGGCAGUGCUAUAGUGACAGUAAUCACAUUUUUAUUCUAUUUUCAUAUUCAAGACUUCAAAGAAGCUUAAAAAAUAUUCAUUAACAAAGCAGGUUGCAGCAUGCCAAGAAGGAGCUGCAUCAGCACUGUCAUAUAUAAUUUUGUGAGCAUUAUCUAGGAGGGCAGAGUUUAGUUUUAACUGCAGGAAAUACACGCACACAAAGAAACCUGCCAGAUAAGAUUAAUGAAAAUGUUCUCUUAAAAAUAAAUGAGUUUUAUUUAACAAGUGGGAGAAAUAAUUCUACAGUGUAAUUUGUUGUUUGGGUUUUAAGUGCUAUGGUCAGUUGUUAAUGAGCAAUAUUAUUUAAGGAACUUUCCAAGGACUGAAUUUUCACUAAAUAGAAUUAUAUUAAAUAGCAAGAAAGUAUAGCAAAUGUACCACAUUUUUCAAACUUAGUCAAAAACGUAAAAUGAGGCAAAUACAUUAACACAUUUACUUGGAAAUGUAAAAGAUGAGGUGAUAUGAAUGAGACAGAUGAAUUGGUUUCAAAAUCAAACACAGUGUAAAUGUCAUAGAACUGUGUGCAUCCAUAUUGAAAAAGAAAAUCCAAAAAUCUGGUUUCUCAAAAAAGAUUUAGGCAAAGGACUAGACUGGAUCAGAAACAUGGGCUAAUUGCUCUCUGAAGGCCAUUCCUGGUUUAUCUUUGUGAUGUUGAUGUGACUGUAAUUCUGACAGGUUUUAUUUAGUUCACCUCACUUUGACUUGAUUUCUGAUCACCUGUGCUAGAAAUGAAGGAGAUAUUACCUGUGUAUUUUGUGGAUGUUUCAUGGGUCUGUAUUUGUAGACAUGAAGAUCCUAGAAAAUAAUUUAUUUUGACUUUAAAAUUAAAUCAAAUCAGAAACCUCAAUACAGAAGAAGAAUGGCCCAUUGUGAUGUUGAUGGUGGGUAACAUGCCUUACAUGUUGUCUUACACAGCAUUUAGCUGAGGUAAUGUGAGAAAUUGGGGCCCCUUGUCUCUAAUACCUACCAGAGGAGAUGCCCCAAUUUCUCAUAUAUCAAGAAGCUCAGGGCUUCUUCACAUGGCAUUUUGAUUCCAAAGAAAUUUAUGAACCUUUUGUACAUUUACUCUAAUAGAUUGCAUUGAAUCUUCUUUGAGCCAUAUGGACAGGUCAUCUAUCUGUCUAUCUAUCUAUCUAUCUAUCUAUCUAUCUAUCUAUCUAUCUAUGAUGUUCAGUUAAUAAAGCAAAUUUAAUAAGAGAUGAGGGGUAAUUGAAUGACCUAGGAUAUAGUCAAAUGAAACAAUAGAGGUUAGAGAAUCAGCUCUUUGGUCACUGAAGAUUAUGCCACUAGCUUGUACAAGGAAUAUUCUUUCUUCUGAGAAAUUCAGAGAGGCACCAGAGAUUCUUAAGCCAUACCACAUAUGCCAACAGCAAAUGAAUUCAAUUGAUAGCUAUACAAGUAUAUUGGCUCCUGGGUAAGUGUACUUGUCUAAUGCCCCAUGGUCAUUUUGCUAAAAUUCAAAAAUUUACCAGAUAGUUCAUGGUGUCCUAAAGUUAUAUCAGGGGUGGGCCCAUUCCUUCCCCUAUAACAAGUAUGUGUUGAUACAUAAGCAUGUUUGUUUAAAAAAAUGUACUUACUAGCUUUUUUUCAUAAACUGUUUGGAGUCAUUUAUACAUAAUGAAAUGAA
rnacentral:lncRNA from 1 species